UUUUGUAUUAGGAUAAGAUUUUCUCUGCUUGUACUUCGCUCAAGAAAAAAGGUUAAUUUUCUACUAGGGCAAAGGUCAGUAUUGUCUGUCUUCUCCAAUAUUCCCAGAAGAUUUGUGCUUUCUCACACUUACUGAUCCUGAUUAUUCAAAGCAUUUUUCUGGUCUCAGUGUACCAGUUUUAACACGUUUUCCAGAGUGUAUUAUGUGGAGUAGGCAAGUUGCAUAUAAUGUAGCUUUUCCUCUACAGAUACCACACCACCUCAUCGGAUGCUUCUUACUUUGACUGUCACAAUUUCUGGCCUUUAAAAUACAGAGCUGGCUGUUCCUGAGAAAUUCUGCUUUCAUACAAGACACCACAAGGAGGGAGGAAGGCUCUGGCACAGGAUGAGCCCUGUGAAUUCAGAGGCGUUUCAAAUGAUGCUCUCCUUGACAGCCUGACUUGAGGAGGGAAUAAAAGUUAAAUCACACUGCAACAAUACCCAAAUCACAGCUGUGUGAGCCAGCAAACUGUGAAAGAGGAUUCCUGUGCUGCUGCUGAAGCCUUGGCUCUCUGCAGACCCACAAAACUUGGCAAGUUAUUUUGCAUCCAGACUGGCUUCUUUAUGAGGAAUAGCUGAAUUGAUUUCAGAUAUGGUCUUGAUAUCAUGAAGACUUUUCUUUCUACUGUCAAGGAAAAAAGUCUGGACUGCAAAAUUAAGUUGCUAGGAAAUAUUAACG